rnacentral:rRNA from 1 species
AGAGUUUGAUCAUGGCUCAGAGUGAACGCUGGCGGCAGGCCUAACACAUGCAAGUCGAACGGCAGCACAGGAGAGCUUGCUCUCUGGGUGGCGAGUGGCGGACGGGUGAGGAAUAUAUCGGAAUCUACCCUUUCGUGGGGGAUAACGUAGGGAAACUUACGCUAAUACCGCAUACGAACUGAGGUUGAAAGCGGCGGACCGCAAGGCGUCGCGCGGAUGGAUGAGCCGAUAUCCGAUUAGCUAGUUGGCGGGGUAAAGGCCCACCAAGGCGACGAUCGGUAGCUGGUCUGAGAGGAUGAUCAGCCACACUGGAACUGAGACACGGUCCAGACUCCUACGGGAGGCAGCAGUGGGGAAUAUUGGACAAUGGGCGCAAGCCUGAUCCAGCCAUGCCGCGUGUGUGAAGAAGGCCUUCGGGUUGUAAAGCACUUUUGUUGGGAAAGAAAAGCGGUCGGUUAAUACCCGGUCGUUCUGACGGUACCCAAAGAAUAAGCACCGGCUAACUUCGUGCCAGCAGCCGCGGUAAUACGAAGGGUGCAAGCGUUACUCGGAAUUACUGGGCGUAAAGCGUGCGUAGGUGGUUUGUUAAGUCAGAUGUGAAAGCCCCGGGCUCAACCUGGGAAUUGCAUUUGAUACUGGCAGACUAGAGUGCGGUAGAGGAGAGUGGAAUUCCCGGUGUAGCAGUGAAAUGCGUAGAGAUCGGGAGGAACAUCAGUUGCGAAGGCGGCUCUCUGGACCAGCACUGACACUGAGGCACGAAAGCGUGGGGGAGCAACAGGAUUAGAUACCCUGGUAGUCCACGCCCUAAACGAUGCGAACUGGACGUUGGGUGCAAUUGAGCAUUCAGUG